UCUUUGGUUGUUUAGCUAUAUGAAUGUCUAGGUCAUAUACUGCAUAAUCAAAGUUG
rnacentral:pre_miRNA from 1 species